rnacentral:rRNA from 1 species
GACAGAGGGUGCAAACGUUGUUCGGAAUUACUGGGCGUAAAGCGCGUGUAGGCUGCCUUGUAAGUCGGAUGUGAAAGCCCUGGGCUCAACCUAGGAAGUGCAUUCGAAACUGCGAGGCUUGAGUCCUGGAGAGGAAGGCGGAAUUCUCGGUGUAGAGGUGAAAUUCGUAGAUAUCGGGAGGAACACCAGUGGCGAAGGCGGCGAUCUGGGAAGAUACUGACGCUGAGGUGCGAAAGCGUGGGGAGCAAACAGG